UAUUCAGCGUUGAAGAAGAAGAGUAAAUAUCACGUUGCACUUCAGAGAGCUGGCGGGCGGUGAGAGCCAGUGUGGAAAGGAUAUUGAAUGGGCUUCUGAGCUUUCAAACCGAAACCUGUUGGGAGUAGGCUUUGACGGAAGGGUCUCGCCGUUAUAAGGAGACAAGUAUUCGGCUUUUGGAUACUAUUUGAGCGGACUGCUUUUGGGGCGGUUCAAUUAAGGUGGCACCACGGGGUAACUCGUCCUUUUA
rnacentral:ncRNA from 1 species